GGGUCAAUGCCCGAGCGGUUAAUGGGGAUGGAUUGUAAAUUCAUUGAUGAUAUGACUACGCUGGUUCAAAUCUAGCUCGGUACC
rnacentral:tRNA from 1 species